AACUGGUUACGUAUCAGAAGGAUCCAAGUAGAACCCAUUCUUAGAGGCAAAAAAUCUUUAGUUGUCUUUUGUACAUUUUGUACAUUUGCUGUGCUUUUAUGAAGAAGAUGAAAAAUUACCAUCUAAAAUUAAAAAAAUGACUUGAUCACAACAUUAUACACUUCAAUAAUAUUAAUAAUUACUUUAAGUCUAAAUAAAAGAGAUGUAAAAACUCAAACAUUGAAGCAUUACAGUUGUAUCUGUUAAAUUAAACGGACUCUUGAGACUCAAAUAUGAAGGAAAAUAACAAACAAGCAUUUGUUAUUUCCCUUUAAUUUACAUUUUUAAAAAUUAUAAAAACAAAACAUGCUGUCUGAUAAUCCAAAUAUCUUAGCAAAUUAUUAUAUGACUAUUAUAUUAUUGUAUAUACACAGAUCAAAUAUAAAGUGGCACACUGCAGGAUUAAUGCUCAUUUAGUAGAUUGCAGUGGUAUUGUAGUUCAAGUUCAGCAGGUCAAAGGUAUUACAAAUCAGAACGUAUAACGCAGUAAUGUAACAUUAAAUUGCUAUAACCAUAAUGUAAGGCUUUUGACUUUGCUUUAUGUGAAGAUGAUUUAUUGCUCAAAAUAAAACUCCAGAAAUUAUGUCAUAGAACUUGCUAUUUCCAAAAUUGUUUAGACAAAAGGCAUCUUGGCACUAUUAGCAGAUUUUAUUUUUUUUUAAUGAAAAAAAAAAUAGAAUAUGUCUGUUAAUAUCCUUAUUAUCUGUAUGCAGGUUUAUCAGAAAUAACAACACAGCUUCCAGUUAAACUUAAGGAGAAGGACACAGUUGUCGCUUGCUCAGCCACUGGUAAACCUACACCGGUGUUCAGUUGGUGGUCUGGAGAAAAAGAACUGAGCAAUUACUUAUCAGAGACUUUCACAGUACUGAAUGGUGACAGUACAGUCACAACUACAAGUAACCUCACAAUUCCACAGUCACAAUUCAGUGGAAAAUAUGUGACAUGUGUGGCUAAUAGUGGCAAUAUAGAGAAGAGUGAAAACAUCACUGUGGAGAAACAGAUUGAUAAAGGGACUCCAGUGACAUCCAGAUCUUAUGUAUUUUCUGCUGUCGUCAUGAUCAGCUGUGUUGUUUCUGCCAGUUGUGUUAUUAUUCUGUUUCACCAGAAGAGGAAAAAACAUCAAAAACACCUUAUUGAGGUUGCCUGAUAUACCUGGACAGUUAAACGUUUUCUUCUCAGCACUUUUCUGAACAUUAUGCUGUAUGAUACAUUGGAAAAAAUGACAUUUCGUAUUGCACUCUUCACAUAACUUUGGACUUGAAAGCACUUUAUACACAGAAAAUGCUCAUUGCCUGUUUACAACAGUUUUUUUUGUUAAAUUAUUGUGUAAAUGUAUUUAAAUAAAUAUUUAUUUAAUCUAAAUAAAUUUUACAUAAAUAACUAAACUCUGAUGUGUAUGUUUCUUGACUGUUUGCGUAUACCCCACUUGUUUUGCUGCUUCAGAAGUCCCUAAUCUACUUUUUCUAAAAAAAAAAAUAAUAAUAAUAAUAAUUUUUUUUUAAAAACCUGAAACUCGCAAAACGUUGUUGUAAUUGAUGUAUUUUUAUUUGAAUUCCACACUUCCCUACCCCUCAGACUUCAGGUGAGAUUGUCCCACUGACAUAGUGAGGUAAAAUAUCAUACUGUGCACAAUAUCAUACCUUCUGUAUCUGCAUGUGAGUGUUGUUUAUUUUAAAUUGAGACACGAUGCCUAGGGAAUUGGUCAUCAGUUUCUUCUGAAGAUAUCUGUGGAAGAAAUAGCCUUAACAUGAGCUUCAUUUCUUAAUUGAAUGUGAACUUAAUCAUAGAUAUAAUCUAAACAGAUGAUUUGCUUUUAUUUUCCUUACUCCGCCACUUCCUGACUGUUGAAGACUUAACAUGUUUGACUUUCUUUUCAACUAGGGUGCCAGUGGAGCACAUGGGGAAAAUCCAUGUUCCUACAUUCAUACGUUAUGUUAGAUGCCAGACUCUCCUUGGUUGAAGGUACUUCAUGAAAAAUAAUGAAAUGAAUAAAAAAAACAAAAUAUGAAAAUGAAUCAAAACAGAUCCAAAUAUAAAAUAAAGUUCCAAUGACAAGUAAAUCUACAUGUUCUCUUCCUCUAACUUGUUCUCAGUACUUGUAAUACGGAUUAAAUACGUGUGGGCAGAUGAUGUAAACUAUGGAUCUGGUUCAAUGUUAUUUGGGAAAAAAGAGCAAGUGAAUUUUCUCAACAUAAAUUUUGUGUUUAGUUUGUUAUCAGGUUGUCUAAAUGUACAUAACACAUCUGAUGAACAAGAUUUCCUCUCCCAUGCUGUAAUGAUGGCUGGAAACUAGGACUUAAUGGUACUGUAUAUACUGUAGAAAGGUCACAUAGAACAUAGAGAAAUCUCAUUUAGCGCUUUGGGAAUUAAGUUACCUUUCACGUUGGCUUUUAUUCUGAUCACAACCAGCCAGUUAUAUUGUUUCUGAGUUUAGUCUUGGUUUAGACUUUUUUGAUUCAAAGAAGCAAAAGUCUAAGGAGCCCUUAACCUUCAG
ensembl:lncRNA